rnacentral:miRNA from 1 species
CGGCGGCGCUGCGCCCUCCGGGUUCCGGCCGUGGCCGAGGCGGCGGCGGCGGCGGAGGAGGAGGCGG